CGUUCUGUAAGCCUGUGAAGGUGUGCUGUGAGGCAUGCUGGAGGUAUCAGAAGUGCGAAUGCUGACAUAAGUAACGAUAAAGCGGGUGAAAAGCCCGCUCGCCGGAAGACCAAGGGUUCCUGUCCAACGUUAAUCGGGGCAGGGUGAGUCGACCCCUAAGGCGAGGCCGAAAGGCGUAGUCGAUGGGAAACAGGUUAAUAUUCCUGUACUUGGUGUUACUGCGAAGGGGGGACGGAGAAGGCUAUGUUGGCCGGGCGACGGUUGUCCCGGUUUAAGCGUGUAGGCUGGUUUUCCAGGCAAAUCCGGAAAAUCAAGGCUGAGGCGUGAUGACGAGGCACUACGGUGCUGAAGCAACAAAUGCCCUGCUUCCAGGAAAAGCCUCUAAGCAUCAGGUAACAUCAAAUCGUACCCCAAACCGACACAGGUGGUCAGGUAGAGAAUACCAAGGCGCUUGAGAGAACUCGGGUGAAGGAACUAGGCAAAAUGGUGCCGUAACU
rnacentral:rRNA from 1 species